rnacentral:rRNA from 1 species
GACGAACGCUGGCGGCGUGCUUAACACAUGCAAGUCGAACGGUGAAGCUCCAGCUUGCUGGAGUGGAUCAGUGGCGAACGGGUGAGUAACACGUGAGCAACCUGCCCCUGACUCUGGAAUAAGCGCUGGAAACGGCGUCUAAUACUGGAUACGAGAAGGGUCCGCAUGGGCACUUUCUGGAAAGUUUUUCGGUUGGGGAUGGGCUCGCGGCCUAUCAGCUUGUUGGUGAGGUAAUGGCUCACCAAGGCGACGACGGGUAGCCGGCCUGAGAGGGCGACCGGCCACACUGGGACUGAGACACGGCCCAGACUCCUACGGGAGGCAGCAGUGGGGAAUAUUGCACAAUGGGCGAAAGCCUGAUGCAGCGACGCCGCGUGCGGGAUGACGGCCUUCGGGUUGUAAACCUCUUUCAGCAGGGAAGAAGCGAAAGUGACGGUACCUGCAGAAGAAGCACCGGCUAACUACGUG